rnacentral:rRNA from 1 species
GACGGAGCAACGCCGCGUGAGUGAUGAAGGUUUUCGGAUCGUAAAACUCUGUUGUUAGGGAAGAACAAGUUGGGUAGUAACUGACCCAACCUUGACGGUACCUAACCAGAAAGCCACGGCUAACUACGUGCCAGCAGCCGCGGUAAUACGUAGGUGGCAAGCGUUGUCCGGAAUUAUUGGGCGUAAAGCGCUCGCAGGCGGUCCUUUAAGUCUGAUGUGAAAUCUCGCGGCUCAACCGCGAACGGUCAUUGGAAACUGGAGGACUUGAGUACAGAAGAGGAGA